UACGAAGGGUGCAAGCGUUACUCGGAAUUACUGGGCGUAAAGCGUGCGUAGGCGGUUUGUUAAGUCCGUUGUGAAAGCCCUGGGCUCAACCUGGGAAUUGCAGUGGAUACUGGCGAGCUAGAGUGCGGUAGAGGAUGGUGGAAUUCCCGGUGUAGCGGUGAAAUGCGUAGAGAUCGGGAGGAACACCCGUGGCGAAGGCGGCCAUCUGGACCAGCACUGACGCUGAGGCACGAAAACGUGGGGAGCAAACAGG
rnacentral:rRNA from 1 species